GGUAAAGUGGCUGAGAUUAGGCAAUAAAUUGUAAAUUUAUGCAUGAAAUAUGUAUGUGUUUCCUUUAUCA
rnacentral:tRNA from 1 species